UGGGGAAUCUUCCGCAAUGGACGAAAGUCUGACGGAGCAACGCCGCGUGUAUGAUGAAGGUCUUCGGAUUGUAAAGUACUGUCAUUGGGAAGAACGGUUUCUGAAAGAUUGAGAAGACAUGACGGUACCCAAGGAGGAAGCCCCGGCUAACUACGUGCCAGCAGCCGCGGUAAUACGUAGGGGGCAAGCGUUNUCCGGAAAUUAUUGGGCGUAAAGGGCGCGUAGGCGGGCCUUUAAGUCCGGUGUGAAAAGAUCAGGGGCUCAACCCUGAGAGUGCAUCGGAAACUGGAGGCCUUGAGGACAGGAGAGGAAAGUGGAAUUCCACGUGUAGCGGUGAAAUGCGUAGAUAUGUGGAGGAACACCAGUGGCG
rnacentral:rRNA from 1 species